rnacentral:piRNA from 1 species
UGAAGCGGGGCCAUUCCAGAUUGGUGU